GUUCAGCUUUGUUCUUACUUUGUUUGUGUUACACUGGUAUCCAGUGAUCCAUUGGCACAGAGACACAGUUUCUACUUUGAUACAAUCUGUGUCAGCCUGGCAGUUAAUUUAUUUAGCAGCAUCUUAAAUUUUUUUGUUUUUGCAUAAAAUCCAGCUCCUGCAGGAUAUUUAUCAGCAUCUUUGCAAGAGAGGAUGAAUUCAAAAUAAAGUACAAGAGAAGAAACAUUCAGUUGCCUCCUGGUUAUAAAGCAAAGCCAAACUGGAGAGACCAGUGCCAGAGCCUUUAUUACUAAAAGGCACAUGCAAAGUGCUGUAAGAUUUCACAGGAUGGAGAGAACAUCUGUGGCAGUGGACAGAGUCGUGAGUGACCACAGAAGGCUUUCUGGAGGCAGGACUUGAGGGCCUUUGCCUCAGACAUGCAUACGGCAGGAGUGUGAGAUCUAUGGAGUGGGCUCAGCUCAUGGAGCAAGGAGGACGGCAGGGGCUCCAAUGAUGAUGUCUGCGUAAGAAUUCCCAUUUAAGAUCUUUCCAAGCACAAGAGUCAUGGCCCAAUGGCAGAGUGUCCUAUGCCCACGAAUAAAUCAAGGAUGAAGAAGACAUUUUUGGAACCAGCAUAGUUUCUGGUAGGAUCUUUGCCACUACUUAAAAAAAAAAAA
rnacentral:lncRNA from 1 species